GACAGAGGUGCCAAGCGUUAGGCGGAAUCACUGGGCUUAAAGCGUGUGUAGGCGGACUCCUAAGUACUUUGUGAAAUCCCACGGCUCAACCGUGGAACUGCUUGGUAUACUGGGAGUCUUGAGGCAGCUAGGGGCUACCGGAACAAAUGGUGGAGCGGUGAAAUGCGUAGAUAUCAGGAGGAACACCUGUGGUGUAGACAGCUUACUGGACCAUCACUGACGCUGAGACACGAAAGCGUGGGUAGCAAACAGG
rnacentral:rRNA from 1 species